AGCGAACGCUGGCGGUAGGCCUAACACAUGCAAGUCGAACGAACUCUUCGGAGUUAGUGGCGGACGGGUGAGUAACACGUGGGAACGUGCCUUUAGGUUCGGAAUAACUCAGGGAAACUUGUGCUAAUACCGAAUGUGCCCUUCGGGGGAAAGAUUUAUCGCCUUUAGAGCGGCCCGCGUCUGAUUAGCUAGUUGGUGAGGUAAAGGCUCACCAAGGCGACGAUCAGUAGCUGGUCUGAGAGGAUGAUCAGCCACAUUGGGACUGAGACACGGCCCAAACUCCUACGGGAGGCAGCAGUGGGGAAUCUUGCGCAAUGGGCGAAAGCCUGACGCAGCCAUGCCGCGUGAGUGAUGGAGGUCUUAGGAUUGUAAAAUUCUUUCACCGGGGACGAUAAUGACGGUACCCGGAGAAGAAGCCCCGGCUAACUUCGUGCCAGCCGCCGCGGUAA
rnacentral:rRNA from 1 species